AUUGAACGCUGGCGGCAGGCCUAACACAUGCAAGUCGAGCGGCGCGGCGGACGGGUGAGUAAGGCCUAGGGAUCUGCCUGGGGGUGGGGUAUCACGUCCGGGAGCGGGCGCUUAGGCCGCAGACUAUCAAGUGAGCUUCGGGCGGAUUAGCUAGUUGGUGGGGUAAUGGCUUACCAAGGCGACGAUCCGUAACUGGACUGAGAGGAUGAUCAGUCACACUGGAACUGAGACACGGUCCAGACUCCUACGGGAGGCAGCAGUGGGGAAUCUUGGACAAUGGGCGAAAGCCUGACCCAGCCAUGCCGCGUGUGUGAAGAAGGUCUUCGGAUUGUAAAGCACUUUAAGUUGGGAGGCGUUACCAACAGAAUAAGCACCGGCUAACUUCGUGCCAGCAGCCGCGGUAAUUC
rnacentral:rRNA from 1 species